GGGAGGCCGCUGCGGGGCGCUCCCCGCUGGGUAGAGCAGAGCAGAGCGGGCGCCGCGCCGGAGCUGGGGCAGCGUCGGGCUGUGUCCGGGCGUAGCUGUAGGAUCCCUGGAUCGAAGGGGUGGUUGCAGUGAGUGACUGGGGCAGUGCGGGGGAAGGAGGUGACCGCAUCCCGGGUAACAUCUGCCGUAGAGCACGGGGGAAGAAGAGCUAGGGCUUCGCCUCUCUGCCCUGCUCCCAGUGCAGCUGCUGGCUCUGCCUGCCGGGGGAGCGAGCCGAGCUGCGCGGGUGGCUCUUGCCCUGCGAGGGUCUGAAGCGUGGUCACGCUGGGGCAGAUAGCUUCCUUAAGGUCAGCGGUAUUACGGUUAUUGUGGCUGAUCAGUCGUGCUGGCGUUCACGGAAAACAGCUGAUCAUGGUAACAGCUGGUCCUGCACCUUUGUGAAGUCUGCACAAACAAGCAGCUUCAGAACCCCUUGGAGAGUUCUUCUUCCAGGCAGCUGGCUGCAACUAAAAUCUCGCCUUGAGUGGGGACACCUCUCCAGGUGCACAGAAAUUCACCUGGAAUGUGGUGACACCUUGCUGACAGAUCCUUGGCUUGGGAAAAUCACUGAAUGCUAAGAAAAUUUAUCUUCUGGAAUGAAGAGGAAUGCGGAGUUUUUCUGCUUUGAAUCAGCUAUACUUCUUCCAAAUAGUUCAGUACUUAUGACCCUUCAGGGUAGAAAAGGUUUUGAAGUGAGACUUUUGUGCUGUGUGUCAGCUUUAAACAGCUUUAAACUUGUAAAUGGCCGUAUUGUUCUCAUCGGCAGCUGGUCUGGGGUGAGCAGAAACUACCAUAUAACUGGCAUAAAUCUAGAUUCCAUCAAGAAAGAAGUAAGCAGAACCAAUGCUGUUUCUAUCCGGAACUGGGUGAAGGCAGACAAUAAGUCAGAACCCUUCAGCACUCAGAUGAGCACUGUAUCCAGGCUUGGGUCUUUGGCAGAGUGCUCAGGACACGUUCAUGGAAAUUCCUCAGACUGGUUGUGUGUGAAUGUUUUGUACGCUUCCUAUGCAGAAACAAGAAAUGGAUCCCUUCCCCAAAAUGCCACAACUUACAGCACUUGAUACAGAAGGUAUCUCUCUAGUUCGGGGCUGCUCUGUAAUGUUUCAUUUCUGAGAGAUGAGUGGUUUUAUAAAUGUAACAGAACAUGACAAUACCUGGGACCUCUUAUUAAUCCUUGGAUUUGUUUGCUUGUUUCCUUUUGAACUUCUGGCCAGCUUCUUGUUCCAUCUGUUGCUGACUUACAGCCUGUAUGUCUGAUCUUUGUGGCCUCCCCUGCCUUUGAGUGUUUGAAAGAAGAGCUCUGCACUUAGCAGUCACCUAGCGACCAUGUAUACAAUACAAGAGUGUUUUUUCUCUUUUUCAAGUUACAACAUCUUGGUUUAGCCAUAGUUGUGAGCUGCUAUUGAGUGUCAGGUUAUAGAUGAAAUUUUUCCUUCUUCCAGUGCAAAUCCACAGACCUAACGGCAGCCUUUUGUACAUUUAAAACAAAAUAGCAAUAGAUUUGACCUCUCGUAAUUUUAUGUCUGUAGGUACAGAAAAGCAGUGUUCUUCUGUAUUUCAUUGCUGGUUACCCUGGCUGCAUUUGAGUACAUCUGUGUUUUGUUAUGGUUUUAACCGCUGCAUAGCGUUAGAACUAUCACACAAUGAUUUCAUUUUACUUCCAUGCUAACUCCUACAGGCUUCAAUAGAAAUGCACACAAGAAGCAGGAUUUAGUGCUAGCUUUACAACGUAUUUAAUUGUACUCUUAAAUAUACAGCUUUUACAAUAGUAAUCAGGAGAUUUUCAAUUGUUUUUGAAGACUUCUGAAGCUAGUAGUGAGGAACAGUUAUGAAAAGAAACUGGUCUGUGUAAUUAAGAUAAUUAAGCCUGAAAUCACCCUUUAUAUUCAGGGUGAGAAUAAAGCUGCAAUAAAAGUUCACUAACUAAGAAAAUGCAUCUUGACAAACUCAGGCUUUUGAGAAGUUGGGGAAAUUAGCAAGCUAAAAGCAUAGAAAAUACUGGAGUGUAAAUGUUCUCUAGAAAUAUGAUCUAUGGGAUUGCAUGAAUCUCUUAUCUUUCUGGCCUCAAAACAGAUGCAACUUCACUAGAAAUAGUAGGAGAGAUGUAUGUAAGAAACUGGGAGUAAAGCAACACGCCAGUGGCAUUUUGAGAUCGGGCAAGGUUGCACUCCACAGGCAGAAGUCAGAUGUUUUCCACAACUUCACAUGUUUUCUAACGCUAGCGUGGCAGAUUUAGUGUGUUGGGAUUUAAUUAUGAUGCGAUGCUUGAUUUUUAGUGUUGGAAAAAAUCUGAAUUGGUGUAGAAGUAUGGCUUUCAGAACUGAAACUAUGCAUUCUGUUAUCACACAACUAACCUCUAUGUUUACAUUUUCUUUCUGGAAUGCAUCCAUUCAAUAAGGAUUGAGUACUCAGACAUCAUAGUAAAAGAUGUGAAAAUGAAGAACAUCUAGUAAGAAGCUGAACUGUGUUCUUCUGCAUGCUAUUUAUUUACAUUAAAAGAUAUCUUAUAAUGCAAGGCUGUUUUAUUUCCUGUUGACACAUUUCAAUCUGGCACUUCUCUGUUGGUUAACAAAAUACCAAGCACCUGGAAAAGGGCUUAGCCUAGUUUUCAUUCUACAGUUUAAAUCAGAUGAAAAGCAAGAAUCAUCUUGCUUUUAUUGCAUUCUGCCUUUCCUCAUAAAUCCAUUGCUGGAAGGAGAGAAACCUGAAGGUAUUUGUUCUAACUCAUGCUUCCGUAGCUGCUCACUUUUGACUACUACACCAUUCCCUCCGCUGGAAUGAUGCAACUGCUUUUGCAUGAGAAUUACUUGAACUGGAUUAUAGAACUGAUCCAAGUUAAAUAUGUGUUCUCCUCCCUAAGAUGCUUACAGAACAGAUUGUUUAUAACCUCUUUAAUCCAAUUUACCUUCAUUUAAUAGUUAUUGGAGAAUGCUGCAGGAGAUGGCACAGUGGAGAGGGAAUGGAAGGGACUGAGUAACAUAAGGGGGUAGGGAGAGAAAAAUGCUUAUCAAUCCUACAGCCAUUUGGAAAUUGCUCAGUAUUCCCUGUACAGUUUUGAAGGAACAGUAGCUAGCUGAAGAGAACUAGAAGACAGCUGUUUCUGAACAGUAACAUGGGGGUAAGUCGUCUUAUUUUUUUUCUAGGUGGAAAGAGGAAAAAAAUUGUUAUUUAUGAGACUUCUUCAAUGAUAUAACUAGUAAAUGUGCAGGUGGAAUGUCCUCAUGGUUGUAUGUGUGUGUGACUGGCUUUAAAAACAAACAACAACAAAAAAACUUAAAAUACAGCUGGCUACAUCCUGAGACUUGUUCCUCAGUGCUGAGUGGAGAACCUUAAUGAAAAUGAAAGAAAUCUUAAUCUGUUAUUUGUAAUGUCCCUGAAGAAGGUGACAGUGGGAUCUGAUUGCAGCUCUUCCUAUACAUUGCCCCCCCCUUAGCCUCUAGGUAAACCUCCAGUUGCUGGCUUUGUCUUGUUUUUUAACAUGUAUUCUCAGUGUAAUAGCCAGUUUUUUUUUGUGUGGAAGAACGUGUAGCCUAGCAAGGAACAACACUGAUAGCAAUUUCAAAAACAGCUUGAUUACAUUUUGCUAACUAAACAAAGAUGAUGACAGUGCAAUUGCAGUUGGAGCAUAGAUAGUAUUUCAGUUUCAUUUGACCAGCAGUGUGUGGUUGCUACAGCAGUAAUUUUAACCAAACUGGAAAGGAAGAAGAAGAAUCCUAUGAAAACUACAGUGAGUCACUACUUUCUCUAGCAUCUCUCACAAUACAGAAAAACUAGCCAUUUCAGUUACAUUUCUGGACAUUAAUUUUCUUUUGCCUUAAACGUAUAGAAACUUGAACAGGCAAGGAACAAGAGUGGAUUAGACACGGAUACAGAAAACAACAGUUCUACUCAUUCAGAUUCAGGGUAUGCGGAGAAAGAAAACGAAUCAUGUGGCUAUAUUUAUUUUAAAAAAAAAAAAAAAAAAAAAGGACUUGAAUCAACUGCAU